ACAGUUAGACAUAAAUAAGAUUAAAGUUAAUGUCAUAGGGAAUAAAAAAAUACAAAUAAUACUCUCUGGAGAGAGAGAUAGAGUGGGCCUUUAAUGGUUAGAAGACAAAUACUAUAUAUAAAGUAAAGUAAAAAAACAAAUCUUUUUUCAAGAAGAGUGUGUGUGUGUGUGUGUGACUGUGUGUGCAUAUGUAUAUGUGUGUGUGUUGAAAUUUAUUUGAAUGCAUUUUCUAACUCUUGUGAAAACCCUUUGACUAAUUAGGGUUUAUUUGGACCAACUUCAAGUUAUGGCAUUGCUACUACUACAUUUUUCCAGCUGGUGGUUUUUUCACCAAGAAAGGUCAGAUAGAGAAGUAGGACUCGGGCUUGCUUUCGAGGUUUUGAGGUGUUCGACUGUUAAACCUGGUUGAAUUUUCUGUUCCUUGUGCUUUUCUGGAACAUGUGAACUUGUAAUGUAAGUACAUUGUUCCUUAAGUAGGGAAUGAAGCCAUCGGUCCGCGAAGCAUAUCAAGCUUUGUAUCAUAUUUUGACAAUAUUACUAGCAAUGAUUCAUAGUGGAUGAAGUAUUUUUUGCAUAUAUAAACUAGCCAGGUUUAUAUUUUCCUUCAAACUUCAAAGAAGAUCUAAGGCUCAAUUAGCUUGAAUGUCUAUGGUCAUUGGAUAUUUAACGUGUAUUAUAUUAGGGACUAGUCUUCUUUUAUUUUCACU